rnacentral:rRNA from 1 species
UACAGAGGGGGCAAGCGUUAUUCGGAAUUAUUGGGCGUAAAGGGCGCGUAGGCGGCUUUGCAAGUGACGGGUGAAAGCCCUCGGCUUAACCGAGGAACUGCCUGUCAGACUGUAAGGCUUGAGACCGGGAGAGGUGAGUGGAAUUCCCAGUGUAGCGGUGAAAUGCGUAGAUAUUGGGAGGAACACCAGUGGCGAAGGCGGCAUCCUGGACCGACAUUGACGCUGAUGAGCGAAAGCUAGGGGAGCAAACGGG